AAACAGGCCCAAUCCUCAUACCAGCGAAACUGCGAAUGGCUCAUUAUAUAAGUUAUCGUUUAUUUGAUAGUACCUUACUACUUGGAUAACCGUGGUAAUUCUAGAGCUAAUACAUGCUAAAAAUCCCGACUUCGGAAGGGAUGUAUUUAUUAGAUUAAAAACCAAUGCCCCUCGGGGCUCUCUGGUGAUUCAUAAUAACUUCUCGAAUCGCACGGCCUUGCGCCGGCGAUGGUUCAUUCAAAUUUCUUCCCUAUCAACUUUCGAUGUUUGGGUAGUGGCCAAACAUGGUUGCAACGGGUAACGGAGGGUUAGGGCUCGACCCCGGAGAAGGAGCCUGAGAAACGGCUACUACAUCCAAGGAAGGCAGCAGGCGCGCAAAUUACCCAAUCCCGAUUCGGGGAGGUAGUGACAAUAAAUACUGAUACAGGGCUCUUUCGGGUCUUGUAAUUGGAAUGAGUACAAUUUAAAUCCCUUAACGAGGAACAAUUGGAGGGCAAGUCUGGUGCCAGCAGCCGCGGUAAUUCCAGCUCCAAUAGCGUAUAUUAAAGUUGUUGUGGUUAAAAAGCUCGUAGUUGAACCUUGGGCCUGGCUGGCCGGUCCGCCUCACCGCGUGUCACUGGUCCGGCCGGGUCUUUCCCUCUGUGGAACCACAUGCCCUUCACUGGGCGUGGCGGGGAAACAGGACUUUUACUUUGAAAAAAUUAGAGUGCUCCAGGCAGGCCUAUGCUCGAAUACAUUAGCAUGGAAUAAUGAAAUAGGACGUGCGGUUCUAUUUUGUUGGUUUCUAGGACCGCCGUAAUGAUUAAUAGGGACAGUCGGGGGCAUCAGUAUUCAAUUGUCAGAGGUGAAAUUCUUGGAUUUAUUGAAGACUAACUACUGCGAAAGCAUUUGCCAAGGAUGUUUUCAUUAAUCAGGAACGAAAGUUAGGGGAUCGAAGACGAUCAGAUACCGUCGUAGUCUUAACCAUAAACUAUGCCGACUAGGGAUCGGACGAUGUUAUUUAGUUGACUCGUUCGGCACCUUACGAGAAAUCAAAGUGCUUGGGCUCACAAGGGGGAGUAUGGUCGCAAGGCUGAAACUUAAGAAAUUUGACGGAAGA
rnacentral:rRNA from 1 species